GCUCGGGGGCGGUAGCGCCAGGAGGGAGCGUGGCGGCCAUUUUGUGGCUGCCUCGCUCGUUUCUGUGAGGGGUUGUUGCGGGCAUUGCGGCUCCGGAGGGAAAAGUUCGUCUGUUUUCUUUCCGUGUAGGUCAGAGGCGCCGCCGCCAUGGGCCGUAAGAAGAAGAAGCAACUGAAGCCUUGGUGCUGGUAUUGUAACAGGGAUUUUGAUGAUGAAAAAAUCCUUAUACAGCAUCAAAAAGCAAAGCACUUUAAAUGCCAUAUAUGUCAUAAGAAACUGUAUACAGGACCUGGAUUAGCUAUCCACUGCAUGCAGGUACAUAAGGAAACAAUAGAUGCUGUUCCAAAUGCGAUUCCUGGAAGAACAGACAUUGAACUGGAAAUCUAUGGUAUGGAGGGCAUUCCAGAAAAAGACAUGGAGGAACGGAGGAGGUUACUUGAACAAAAAACUCAGGCAGAGAGCCAGAAAAAGAAACAACAGGAUGACUCUGAUGAAUAUGAAGAUGAUGAAUCUGCAGCUUCAACUUCAUUUCAACCCCAGCAAGUUCAGCCCCAGCAGGGAUACAUUCCCCCAAUGGCACAGCCAGGUUUGCCUCCUGUGCCAGGUGCACCAGGGAUGCCUCCAGGUAUACCACCAUUAAUGGCAGGUGUUCCACCUAUGAUGCCUGGAAUGCCUCCAGUUAUGCCUGGAAUGCCACCUGGGAUGAUGCCGAUGGGUGGAAUGAUGCCUCCUGGGCCAGGAAUACCACCUCUUAUGCCUGGUAUGCCACCAGGUAGGUCGGGGCUGUCAAACUCGUACUAUGGUAUGCCACCACCUGUUGGUCCUCGUCCUGGGAUGCCUCCAAUGACACAAGCGCAGCCUGUUACAGCACCAGGAAUUCUUAACAGGCCUCCAGCUCCUGCUGCAUCUGCACCUGCUCCCCAGCCUCCAGUUACUAAACCACUCUUCCCAAGUGCAGGGCAGAUGGGGACACCUGUCACAAGCUCAAGUGCAGCUUCCUCCAAUUCAGAAAGUCUGUCAGCAUCUUCUAACGCUCUGUUUCCUAGCACAGCACAAGCUGCAGCAGCUGUUCCAGGUCCAGUUGGUACUGAUUUCAAACCUUUGAAUUCUACACCUGCAACAACAACAGAACCCCCAAAACCUACAUUCCCUGCUUACACACAGUCUACAGCCUCAACCACUAGCACGACAAACAGUACUGCAGCUAAACCAGCUACAUCUAUAACAAGUAAGCCUGCUACCCUCACAACCACCAGUGCAACCAGUAAGUUGAUCCAUCCAGAUGAGGAUAUAUCACUGGAAGAGAGAAGGGCACAGUUGCCCAAGUAUCAGCGAAAUCUUCCUCGACCGGGACAGGCUGCUUUGGGUAAUCCCCAAGUUGGACCAAUAGGAGGUAUGAUGCCACCACAGCCGGGAAUUCCUCCACAACAACAAGGAAUGAGACCUCCCAUGCCACCUCAUGGUCAGUAUGGUGCUCAUCACCAGGGCAUGCCAGGAUAUCUUCCUGGAGCGAUGCCUCCAUAUGGUCAGGGACCUCCGAUGGUGCCCCCUUACCAAAGUGGACCUCCUCGACCUCCAAUGGGAAUGAGACCUCCUGUAAUGUCGCAGGGUGGCCGCUACUGAUGCUACUACACACGCUCUAAUAGGUUUUUAGAAGUGAAGUAUAGUAAAUAUGGUUCGUUAAAUUGUGAAGGCGCUGGAAUUACAUGAACAUACCACCUUAAAGCCCUGCCAUAGGACAGGCUGAGGCAGAGUCUCAGUGUUGCCCUGUUCAGUCUGAGGCAAGUGGGAUUUAUUUUAUUCAUUCUGGGGGCUUUCACAGCUUUAUGGCUGUUGGAUAUUUAUGUCCCCAAACUUGCAGCAAGUUUGGUGAAGGCCCCUAAAUUUAUUUUAAUUUAGGUUUUUUAUUCUCUUUUGGUAGAUGGGCUCUAUAUUAAUAUUUAUCUUUUUAUUAUUGUUGUGUUUUUAAGAGUCUUAGGGGGAGGGAACAUGUUUUAAGAUGUUUGGGUACCUUUUCUCUUUCCGGAGCACGGUUCCUUCGCAGCUGCUCAGGUAGUCCUUCAGCCACACUGCCCCCUCUCCCUCUUCCCCUGCAUUGCAUUUGUGCGGUAUUCGUUUUUGGGUUUGGUAAUGUGACUUUGUGUAGUCUCUGAACUAGUGUCAUGUAAAUAGCAAUUACUAAUGUUUCCUCUUCUGAGGAGAUGUAUCUGUCGAAGUGCUUAAAAUACUGAGGUUUAAGCUAGUAAGUGACAUUUAUAGUCACAAAAUUGCAUAGCCUAAAUUAUAGAAUAUAGUUUCUUUGGAGGAGGUUUAAUACGGCUGCAUAUGUGAACUGCACCCCAACAAAUAUUAAUGUAGAGCCCUGUGAAGAAGUAAGAGAUUCAAGCUGGUAAAGUAGAAUAGAAAAAUGAGAAAUGGUGCAGAUUCUUCAGUUCAUCAAUUACAGGAAAAAUCUCUUCCUUAGUCUCUCAAAGACACCAAACGUCACAACAUUUUGUCUAUUGCAGCAAUACAGAAAGUCGUGCUUUUUUGAAACCUUGUGAAAUUUUACUGCAUGUUCAAAAUUUGCUUCCAUAUAUGCUUAUGUGAACUUCCUUCUUUCACACAGUGACUAGCAAAACCUUUUACCCUUUGUGGAGAAAAAUGAGCUUUAGUGUUGCUGCUCAUUCAUUCAGAUGUAUUAGCUUUGAACGCUUGAAGUUGCUUAAAGACAGCUUCAGCUUCAGAAGAACAAGUUUCGUCCACAGAGGUCAUGCAGCCUGUCAGCAGUGAAAUAGAAAACU